UAUUGGACAAUGGGCGAAAGCCUGAUCCAGCAAUGCCGCGUGAGUGAUGAAGGCCUUAGGGUUGUAAAGCUCUUUUACCCGGGAUGAUAAUGACAGUACCGGGAGAAUAAGCUCCGGCUAACUCCGUGCCAGCAGCCGCGGUAAUACGGAGGGAGCUAGCGUUGUUCGGAAUUACUGGGCGUAAAGCGCACGUAGGCGGCUUUGUAAGUUAGAGGUGAAAGCCUGGAGCUCAACUCCAGAAUUGCCUUUGAUACUGCAUCGCUUGAAUCCAGGAGAGGUGAGUGGAAUUCCGAGUGUAGAGGUGAAAUUCGUAGAUAUUCGGAAGAACACCAGUGGCGAAGGCGGCUCACUGGACUGGUAUGACGCUGAGUCGAAAG
rnacentral:rRNA from 1 species